rnacentral:tRNA from 5 species
GAUAGCUCAGCGGUAGAGUAGGUGACUGUUAAUCACUUGGUCGUUGGUUCGAAUCCAACUC